rnacentral:rRNA from 1 species
CGCUCUGCUUACACCUAUUUAUAGGAGGUCCCGCCUGCCCUGUGACCAAAAGUUUAACGGCCGCGGUAUUUUAACCGUGCAAAGGUAGCGCAAUCAAUUGUCUUUUAAAUGGAGACCUGUAUGAAUGGCAUAACGAGGGUUUAACUGUCUCUUUUUUUCGGUCAAUGAAACUGAUCUGCCCGUGCAGAAGCGGGCAUAUACACACAAGACGAGAAGACCCUAUGGAGCUUUAGACGCCCACCAACUACUAAAAGAACCCCGAUUUAGCGGGCCUUCAAGCAAUAGUAACACUGGCAUAAACGUCUUCGGUUGGGGCGACCGCGGGGGAGAAUAGAGCCCCCGAGAGGAUUGGGGGAAACCCUAAAACCAAGAGCCACAGCUCUAAGUCACAAAAUAUUUGACCGACAAUGAUCCGGCUCUUUUGCCGAUCAACGGACCAAGUUACCCUAGGGAUAACAGCGCAAUCCCCUCCCAGAGUCCAUAUCGACGAGGGGGUUUACGACCUCGAUGUUGGAUCAGGACAUCCUAAUGGUGCAGCCGCUAUUAAGGGUUCGUUUGUCAACGAUUAAAGUCCU